AGGUUACUGCUAUCGGUGUUCGCCUAAGCCAUGCGAGUCAUAUGUUCGUAAGAACAUGGCGUACUGCUCAGUAACACGUGGAUAACCUGCCCUUGGGUCCGGCAUAACCCCGGGAAACUGGGGAUAAUUCCGGAUAACGCACAUAUGCUGGAAUGCUUUAUGCGUAAAAUGGAUUCGUCUGCCCAAGGAUGGGUCUGCGGCCUAUCAGGUAGUAGUGGGUGUAAUGUACCUACUAGCCUACGACGGGUACGGGUUGUGAGAGCAAGAGCCCGGAGAUGGAUUCUGAGACAUGAAUCCAGGCCCUACGGGGCGCAGCAGGCGCGAAAACUUUACAAUGCGGGAAACCGUGAUAAGGGGACACCGAGUGCCAGCAUCCUAUGCUGGCUGUCCGGGUGUGUAAAAUACACCUGUUAGCAAGGGCCGGGCAAGACCGGUGCCAGCCGCCGCGGUAACACCGGCGGCCCGAGUGGUGAUCGUGAUUAUUGGGUCUAAAGGGUCCGUAGCCGGUUUGGUCAGUCCUCCGGGAAAUCUGACAGCUUAACUGUUAGGCUUUCGGAGGAUACUGCCAGACUUGGAACCGGGAGAGGUAAGAGGUACUACAGGGGUAGGAGUGAAAUCUUGUAAUCCCUGUGGGACCACCUGUGGCGAAGGCGUCUUACCAGAACGGGUUCGACGGUGAGGGACGAAAGCUGGGGGCACGAGCCGGAUUAGAUACCCGGGUAGUCCCAGCCGUAAACGAUGCUCGCUAGGUGUCAGGCAUGGCGCGACCGUGUCUGGUGCCGCAGGGAAGCCGUGAAGCGAGCCACCUGGGAAGUACGGCCGCAAGGCUGAAACCUAA
rnacentral:rRNA from 1 species